CUCACUUGAGCACAAUCCAAGAUGAAAGUUUCUGGGUUGUGUCCCCUCCGCUUCCUCUCACCCUCGCUCCCCCGCGGAGCCAAGGAGCCAGCAAUUGUGCAAGAGGAGCCCGGCGCACAGGGCGCGUAUCACGGAGCGCAUGAGCCAGCAAGCCGAACGCCUCCAGCGCGGCCGGGACGGAGGAGCGGCUCUGCGGAAGACGCCGAGGCUGCGCCCGAGUCUGAACGAAGCUGCCUCCAGCCACAUGAAGUCAGUAGGGCUGUUCUGAGGGGCCCCUAGAUUUUAUGACUGUUUUUUAGGUUGCGGAACCUACUCCGAGAGAGCAGACACUUUGGACGAAGUGAUUCAUAUUGAUAGAAAGAUACAUUUGUUGGGUGGUGGCUUUUUUCAUUCUCAACAGAAAACAAAGAAAUAAAUUAAGUCUUCCCCUGACCCAGACUGUACUGUGAAACUUUUCAAAAAUGUCUCUGCUUUCUUUUACUUCAGUAUCCUUUCCCCUUUUUCUUUUAAGACGCCCUUAGGGAAACCACGAAGUAACCCUGCACA